AUGGAGGGAGAUCAGGGGAAGGGAGGCGACGGCGCUGGCUCUGGCUCUGGCUCUAGCUCGUCGAAGCAGACAGCACCGUCCAAGAUCGACUCGCCGUCUCUGUUUGAUGUGACCGAGGAGGAGGAGGAGAAAGAGGAGGAGACCGCGCUGGGGCUGCUCGGCGACAAGGGCAAGCGGGCGGCGGCGGCGGCCGGCGGAUCCGGCUCGGCGGCUGGAGCCGACGACACGAGGGGCGAUGCCAAGAGGGCACGCACCGACGUGCCACCUCCGGCUGCUGAUGUCCAUGUGGUACCAGCAGACGUGGCGCUCAACAUCCCCCCGGCUGCUGGCCCCGUGGUGCUUCGUGGUGGUGGUGCGCCGAACCCUCCUCAUCCUCUGCCCGCUGAGCCGGAUCUGGCCGAGCAGGCGGCAGCUGCUGCCAUGAAUGUAUUCAUGAACGCCCUCCAGCCCGCGUCAGAUGUACUGAAAAGUGCCCAUGACCCUGAUCCACAUCUGAAACCGACCUUGACCAGGGCCCAGCUUGGCUAUCUGGUGGAUAAUCCCAUCAUGCUUACUAAUGCUGCACUCUCGGCGCUGGAAAGGGGUGUCCAGCCCAUUACGACUGUGGUGCCACCCCCACCCCAGCCGGUGGCUCCAGGGAUGCCUCCGCCUCCACUAUGCCUCAGGUGCGGCCUGGCUGAUGCGACCACUGCAUUCUUCUCGUCAACCCACAAGUGUGUGUGUGACCCAUGCCAUGAGGCGGUAUUGCUCAACCCUGUCUGGGAGGCGUGCACAAUUUGUUUCAGUGAAACUAUCAAUCGGAUAGUCAACAUUCAGUAA
rnacentral:rRNA from 1 species